UUACCCCGAAGUCAGGAGGACAAUUUCAGCAUACCCAUGGAGGAGGUAGUUCGCAUAAUCACAAUGGUCCCAAGAAUGGUAAUGGGAAUGGAGGAAGCAACAGCCAGAACCAUACCAACCCAUCAACCCCAGCCAAGAAAGAUUUGAGCCAAGUCACUUGCUUUAAGUGUCAGAAGACCGGACAUUAAGCCAAUGAAUGUCCCGAAGGCCAGAAUGGAAAUGGCAAUGGAAGCUCGGGGAAGAAGCCGAACCCUUUCAAUAGGGGACAGGUGAACCACGUUAACGUGGAGGAGGUUGAAGCUCAGCCAGAUGCAAUAAUAGGUAAGUUUAUGAUUAAGUCAUUUACUGCACUCGUUCUUUUUGAUACUGGUGCAUCGCAUUCAUAUAUAUCAAGGGGAUUUGUGGAUAAGUAUAAACUGCCAACCCAAGCCCUUAGGUCACCCAUGUUAGUAACCUCGCCUGGAGCAGAGUAUAUGGCUAGCUUAUGGUGUGAUCAGUUACCAUUAAGGAUUGGUAGCUACUUGUUUCCCUCGGACCUAAUAGUCUUGGAAUCGCAAGGAUUGGAUGUGAUAUUAGGCAUGGGUUGGUUAUCGAAGUAUGGAGGGAACAUUGAAUGCGCCGGUAAGACAAUUUUGCUUACAACGCCAGAAGGAAGAAGGAUCAAGUAUGUAUCACGGCAUGAGCCGAGGAGGACACAAGUAAACUCGUUAACAGGAGUUGUGCAGGAAGAAGUACCCGUGGUGAAGGAUUUUCCUGACGUGUUUCCAGAGGAGUUGCCAAGCAUGCCACCGGAUAGAGACAUUGAGUUUUUUAUUGAUCUUUUGCCCGGCACAGGGCCAAUAUCGAAGAGACCAUACAGAAUGCCCGCAAAGGAUCUGGAAGAGAUUAAAAAGCAGAUUAAGGAGUUACUGGAUAAAGGAUAUAUUCGCCCAAGUUCUUUGCCUUGGGGAUCACCAGUACUUCUAGAGGAGAAGAAGGACGGAUCAUUAAGGAUGGUUUUCGAUUAUCGAGGAUUGAAUGCAGUAACAAUCAAAAACAAGUACCCACUGCCGAUGAUCAAUGAUCUGUUUGACCGAUUGCAAGGAGCUAAGGUAUUUUCCAAGAUCGAUUUGCAAUCAGGAUACCAUUAGUUGAAGAUCGAGAGAAGGAUAUAUCUAAGACGGUUUUUACCACCAGGUAUGCGUUGUAUGAGUACACCGUUAUGUCAUUUGGUCUGACUAACGCACCUGCCUAUUUCAUGAACAUGAUGAACAAGGUGUUUAUGGAGUUUUUGGAUAAGUUCGUCGUGGUGUUCAUUGAUGAUAUUUUGGUCUACUCGAAGAAUGAAGAAGAGCGUAAGGAGCAUUUGCGUUUGGUACUCGAGAAGCUUAGAGAACACUAGUUAUACACCAAGUUCAGCAAAUGUAAAUUUUGGUUGAAGGAAGUUGGAUUUCUCGGGCAUGUUAUAUCCCGAGAAGGUAUAGCAGUAGACCCCACCAAAGUUGUCAUCGUGACAAACUCGGAAGCACCAACAAUGGUUGGAGAGAUCCGGAGUUUUCUUGGACUCGCACGAUAUUACCGGAGAUUUAUUGAGAACUUCUCGAAGAUUGCAAAACCUAUGACAGAAUUGUUGAAGAAGGAUACCAAGUUCAAUUGGACUAAGGAGUGUGAGGCCAGUUUCCAGGAGUUGAAGGAACGUUUGGUUACCUCACCAGUGUUGAUUCUGCCAGAUCAGAGUAAGGAUUACGAGGUGUAUUGCGACGCUUCACGUCGAGGACUUGGAGCAGUGCUUAUGCAGGAGGGGGAGUUGUUUCGUAUGCUUCACGACAGCUGAAACCUCAUGAGUUAAAUUAUGCCACACAUGAUUUGGAGUUAGCAGCCGUAGUGUAUGCAUUGAAAACUUGGAGACAUUUUCUCAUCGGAAAUCAUUGUGAAGUGUACACGGAUCACAAGAGUUUGAAGUACAUUUUCACGUAGAAGGAGUUGAAUCUCAGGCAAAGGAGAUGGUUGGAACCCAUCAAAGAUUAUGAUAUGAGAUUACAUUACCACCCGGGAAAGGCUAAUGUAGUAGCCGACGCGUUGAGCCGUAAGAGCCAUGUCAAUACACUUAUGACCGGAGAGUUACCGAAGGAGUUAGCCGAGGACCUUCGUGAGCUAUGUUUGGAAAUAGUUCCGAGAGGCUAUGUAGCAGCAUUGGAGAUUCAGUCUACCUUGAUGUAUAAGAUCAUUGAAGCUUAGAAGAUUGACAAGGAAAUUGCUGAUAUAAAGGAGAAGAUGAGCAAAGGCAAAGCUAAAGGAUUUCGUGAGGAUGAGCAUGAUACCCUAUGGUUUGAAGAUCGUGUUUAUAUGCCUAAUGACCCGGAGAUCAGGAAGUUGAUUCUGCAAGAGGCCCAUGAUUCACCAUACUCGAUUCACCCAGGAAAUACCAAGAUGUAUUUGGAUUUGAAGGAUACUUUUUGGUGGACCGGAAUGAAGAAAGGAUAUCGUAGAAUAUGUAGCAGUUUGUGAUGUAUGUCAAAGAGUAAAGGCAGAGCACCAGAAGCCAGCAGGACUGUUGCAACCAUUGCCAAUACCAGAAUGGAAGUGGGAUAAGCUAGGCAUGGAUUUCAUUACGGGAUUGCCCAGGACUCGUUCAGGCUAUGACUCAAUUUGGGUUAUAGUCAAUCGUUUGACGAAAGUAGCACAUUUCAUCCCAGUGAAGACCACUUACACCAAUGCUAAGUUGGCUAAGAUAUACAUGACCAGGAUCGUAUGUCUGCAUGGAGUUCCAAGGAGCAUUGUAUCAGAUAGGGGAACCCAGUUUACCUCAAAGUUCUGGAAUUAGUUGCACGAAACCUUGGGUACCAGACUAGAGUUCAGUACAACUUUUCACUCGCAGACAGAUGGACAGACAGAGAGAGUUAAUCAGAUUUUGGAGGAUAUGCUAAGAGCUUGUGCCCUAGAUUAUGGAUCAAGUUGGGAUGACAACCUGCCAUAUGCAGAGUUUUCUUACAACAAUAGUUAUCAAUCUAGUUUCAAGAUGGCCCCUUUUGAAGCCUUGUACGGAAGGAGGUGCAGGACCCCGUUGUCAUGGGAUGAAGUUGGAGACUGCCAGUUGUUCGAACCGGUUUUGAUUAAGGAGUCUGAACGGAAAGUAAAGUUGAUUCGUGAUAGGCUCAAGGUAGCCCAGUCUAGGCAGAAGAGCUAUGCAGAUUCAAAACGCAAGGAGACAGUUUACGAAGUCGGAGAUAGAGUUUAUCUUCGAGUAUCUCCACUUCGAGGAGUUAAGCAUUUUGGUGUUAAGGGUAAAUUAGCGCCACGUGUUGUGGGACCAUACAAAGUUUUGGACCGUGUGGGAGAAGUUGCCUACAAGUUGGAAUUACCCGAAGGAUUGUCGGCAGUUCAUGACGUAUUCCACGUGUCCCGUUGAAGAAGUGCCACGCAGAGAUGGCGGAUAUACCGCUGAGAGAUACAGUGCCACUAGAGGCGAUUCAGUUGGACAAUGAUUUGACCUAUGAGGAGAAACCAGUCAAGAUUCUUAAGUAUGCCAGCCGAGUCACCCGCAACAAGGUUAUCAAAUUUUGCAAAGUUCAGUGGAGCCACUGAGGUUACCUGCUAAAGCAGAUAUCUUGUUGGUUACAGAUAGCUCUUCAAAGGAGGAUUCAGAGGCAGAUGACCAGUCCUAUUAUCCCACUGAGGUGUAUGCUCAAACUUGGCAGGGUUAUAUUACUCAUAUCAUGCAUAUGUUGUAUUGCAAUGCUUAGUUUUUUACAUCAUAUACACAAUAUUGAAUGCCAUCUCCUUAGUUGAUACAUCAUAUAUGCGAUUGCCCUCUGCUCACUUCCUUAGUAUAUAAAUCAUAUAUUUGAAUUAUGUCAUGCCAUGAUGUUUACAUAGACAGCAUGUAUCUGAAUUAUGGCAUGCCAACCCAUUUUCUAAAGACAUAAUAUAGUUAUAUCAUCUCAUCCUGUUUACAUAGUCAUCAUAUUUUAAAUUAUGUCAUUCUAUCCGUGAAUUAUAUCAUGCCAUCACGUUUCCAUCGACAGCAUGUUUGUGAUUUAUGGCAUGCCAACCACUUUAAUAGACACAUUGUAUAGUUAUAUCAUGUCAUCAUGUUUACAUAGUCACCAUAUUUUGAAGUAUGUCAUUCUAUCAUGUUUAGUUAGCCAUCAUACAUGUGAAAUUGUGUCAUGCUAUCCUGUUUAAUUAGCCAUCAUAUAUGUGAAAUUAUGUCCUGCUAUUCUGUUUGGUUAGACAACAUUAAUGUGAAUUAUUUCAUGCCAUGUUUUCUUCCCUACUAUCCAUUACACAUGUCUAUCUUACAAUGUCUGUACAUUCAAUUACUUUUCUUGUUUAUCAGCCAUUUCAAUUGGAGGGAGUGAUGGCAGUAUCUGUGGGAGUAAAAACACGGUCUUCAGAAAAGAUCGUGCUACAUGCCGAUGCAGAUAGAACCAUGGUUGUACUUGCCCAAGAACCAGCCCCACCACACAUAACCCAGACUCAUGCAGAUUGUACCCCUGCUCAGUUGGACAGAGAACCAGCUACACCCCUUCUAACCCCAACCCCAGCAGAUAGUAACCCAGUUCCCGUUGACACAGCACCGUCUCCACCAUAGAGCACCCAAACAUGAGCAGUUAGUAAGGCAACUGCAGUGCCCAAAGCACGAGGACCACCACUAUGAACCCCAAGUCAACGCUUAAAGCAGAAGAAGAAUUGUUCUCAAGUCAGGUUCUGUAGCUAUGGUUCAUACUACUUUGCUCUUGCAUCAUUGUAUUUACUCACACCAACUAAUUUCAAAUUUGAAGGAUGCAAUUGAAACUCCAAUGGCGCAACAGGUAAGUUUUAAACCUGUUUCUUUAACGUGUUUGGUUGUUUGCUGUUGUAACUUGCUCUAUGUUGAUUUCAGUUUCAAUUGAAUAAACAGUUAUGUUCUCAUGUCAUGCACAUUACAAGUGUUGUUAUUGCUUUGUAGUUUCCCACACUUAUAUUCUGUCUAUGCUGCUUUGUCUUAAAUACAUAUGAUUCGAACUGUAUCUAUCUUGAUUUGGCAACAUAAACUAGAAUGAUAUAGACCAUAAAGUGACCAUACUAUAUAGAUAUAUGUUUGUUUCAUGUUGUUAUCCUGUCCACCUUACUACUAAACUAGUUUACUAAAAUGAGUUUCAUAUACUACAUUGUAAACCUGUGAUGUGCUUGUUUGUUUCUCUUUUAGAACGCGGAUAAAAUAUUGGAGAAGAGUACCCCGUUAUGCAAUGGUAAAGGAAGUAAUGCAGAUAAGGUUCAAGAUAGUGAGACAUCCCUGUUGGUCUCCAAGCAAGCUGAUAAAAACUAUAUUGAAGACACUAAGACAACCCCAAAGUCCUGUCUUGAUGUAGUGUUCGAGUUACUGGCUACUACUGCUUGCACCAGCUCUUCGAACUCGUUGCCUGAAUUAGUUCGGCUUCUUGAGUCUCAACUUCAAGUUGAAAGACAUCGAUCAGAUGUUAUGCGACAGGAAGCCGAAGGACUAAGGAAAUCCCUGCAUAAUUCAGAUGCAUACUUUCUGGUGCAACAGCAAGUGCUGAAGGACUUAAGCGCCAAACAAGAAAAAGUUAAUAAGCUUGCUAAGCAUCUUGCCAGCAUUAUGGGUACCCAGGAUAUUGUUUCUUGAGCUCUUCUAAAGUGGUUUCGGUUCUGGACUUGUUUUGCUGCGGCGUUUAUAUGAUGUUGUGUUCCCUAUAUUUGCACUGGUGGCGAACUUUGAUGCCCAGUGGAUGUAAUAUGUGUAACAGCCGUGAUAGCCUAGCGUAAGUUGCUUGCUUAUUUAUUUCCUUAUUGUCUUGUUUAUUUGUUUGCUUAUAGUCAGUGCAGUUCUUUUUCCGCGGUUUGCUAGUGGCUGCAAUAACCUAUUUUUUAAAACUAGGCCACAAUAACCAUGGGCUACAUAUUUACUGUAGUUACCAUUUCCCUCCUGCAGGUCGUAGAAAUAAUGGGCCUUCUACGUGUCGUAGAAACAAUGGGCCUUAUAUGGGUCGUAGACACAAUGGGCCUUCUAUGGGUCGUAUCAUCAAUGGGCCUUGUACAGGUCGUAUGAUCGGUUGGCCAAACAUGGGCCAAUAAUAGACCGCAUUAUGGCCGUAAACGGGCUAGAGUUGGAAUUGUUUGCUCAUGGGCUGACCAUAACGGGUCGUCGUUAAUCGGUCGUAUUUGAUGAUGCUAUAAAAAUGGUCCAACGUAUUAACGGGCCACAAACGGGCGACUUUAACCUCGGGCUGAAUUUAGCCCACAAGCAGAAAAUGACAGUAACAGGCCGUAAGUAAACGAAUGCUGGAAAUGAAUGGGCUCUGAGAAGGCCGAAAGAUAACAUGGGCUGGAAACGGCCCAACGAAAUAAUGGGCUGUUAAUGGGUAUAAAGUGAUACACUGUUCAUUACGGGCCAGUUUUUCACCACGGGCCGUUAAUGGGUAUAAAGUGAUACACUGUUUAUUGCGGGCCAGUUUCACCACGGGUCGUUAAUGGGCCAAGAGUUACAAAGGGCCUCAUAUGGGCCGUAAGACGUCAUGGGUCAUACAUGGGCCAAAAGUGAAAACGGGCUGGAAUCAUAUUGGAUGGCCCAGAUGACGCUACUGGGCCUAAUUUGGAUACGGCGUAACGGGCCUUGGGUUAGCGGGCUGUAAAUGGGCUAUAUGCAAACAGGCCGUUAACAGGCUUUCCAUGGGCCGGGCCGCCACCUUUUGACCAAGUCAAAUGGGCCGGCCUUUUCACAGGAAUGGGCCUCUGUUGGAUCGUGCCACGUGUCGACGUAUCAUAGGCGCCUUCUGUCCAAUGAGUGGAUGACAUGUGUCCCAACGAUGAGCCGACACGUGUUUCCUCUAGCCAAUGAUGAUUUUACACGUGGAAAAUCCCCAUUGGUCCGGGCUAUUAACGGGUUAUCGGAUCCAAAACCCGACCCGAUAGCUUAACGGCGUUCCGUUACGGUGGAUGCCAUGUGUCAGUCACCCUUGACGAAAGCACUUCUGUGACGCGUGAUUUAUCGUCAUGGAAGUGGACACUUCCGUGAUGAUAAUUUUGGUAAUGUCAUGGAACACUUCUACGACGGCACAGGUAUGACUAUCUUGAUUCUGUCAUAAAAUUGUCAUGGAUGUACAUGCAUGACAGAAAAUGUGACCUACUGUGAUAAACACGUAUCAUCACAGAAGUGUUUUUUUUUGUAGUGGUGGGUUCAUUGCUAUGUAAAGUUUUGACCUCUUCAAUCCCACUUUUACCAAUUUUUGCAUCAAGAUCUAAAAACUCCGAAUCAUUGGGAUGCCUUUUAGCUAAAGUUGACUCAUCUCCAGUCCCAUCUUUAUCAAGAUUCAUAUUGGAAAACAAAGAUUUAAUAGGAGACACAUCAAUCACUUUCAGAUCUUCAUCCUUAUUAUCAUGAAAACUAGGAGAGCAUGCUUUCACAAAGCAAUCAUUUUUAGCACGCAUCCUAGCGGUUCUUUCUUUGCACUCAUCAAUAGAAAUUAUCAUGGCUUUGAAAGACUCAUUGAUAUCAUGCUUAGGUGGAAUAGAUCUAAGUUUCAAAGAAUCAACUUCAAGAGAAAUUCUAUCCACGUUCCUAGCCAACUCAUCAAUCUUAGGCAAUUUUUCUUCAAGCAAAGCAUGGAAAUUAUUUUGCGAAAUCAUAAGUUCUUUUACACUAGCCUCAAAAUCAGAGAGCAUCUUAUUGAAAUUUCCAUAAGAAUUGUUGUAUGAAUUACCAUAAUUAUUAGAGGAAUUACUAGGGAACGGCCUAGAAUUAAAGUUUCCUCUAUACGCGUUGUUACCAAAAUUGUACCUACCAACAAAAUUCACAUCCAUAGAUUCAUUAUUAUUCUCAAUCAAAGUGGAUAAGGGCAUAUCAUUAGGAUCAGAGGAAACACUCUUAUUAGCAAUCAAUUUCAUAAUUCAUCCAUCUUUCCACUCAAAACAUUAAUCUCUUCAAUUGCAUGAACCUUUUUACUAGUAGAUCUUUCGGUGCGCCAUUGAGAAUAAUUAACCAUAAUAUGAUCUAGGAGUUUAGUAGCUUCUCCUAAAGUGAUUUCCAUAAAAGUGCCUCCCGCGGCCGAAUCUAAAAGAUUUCUAGAAGCAAAAUUCAAUCCGGCAUAAAAAUUUUGUAUAAUCAUCCAUAAAUUCAAACCAUGUGUAGGGCAAUUACGUAUCAUUAGUUUCAUCCUCUCCCAAGCUUGUGCAACAUACUCAUGAUCAAGUUGCUUAAAAUUCAUAAUAUCGUUUCUAAGAGAGAUGAUCUUAGUGGGAGGAAAAUACUUAGAGAUAAAAGCAUCUUUGCACUUAUUCCAUGAAUCAAUACUAUUUUUAGGCAAAGAAGAGAACCAAUUUUAGCACGAUCUCUAAGCAAAAACGGAAAUAACUUCAAUUUAACAAUAUCAUUAUCCACAUCUCUCUUCUUUUGCAUAUCGCACAAAUCAACAAAGUUGUUUAGAUGUGUACCGGCAUCUUCACUAAGAAGGUCAAAGAACUGAUCUUUCAUGACAAGAUUCAGUAAAGCAGCAUUAAUUUCGCAAGAUUCAGCAUCGGUAAUAGGAGCAAUCGGAGUGCUAAGAAAAUCAUUGUUGUUGGUAUUGGAAAAAUCACACAGUUUAGUAAACAAUCCAACAUACAAGCACACAAGAAACAAGCAAAAAGAGACGAACGAAAAAAGGGCGAAUAAAACGGCAAGCGUGAAGUGGGGGAGAGGAAAACAAGAGGCAAAUGGCAAAUGAUGUAAUGCAAGGGAUAAGAGUUUGUGAUGGGUACUUGGUAUGUCUUGACUUGUGCAUGGAUCUUUCCGGCAACGAUGCCAGAAAUCGGCGAGUUGUCGAGAGAUCAAAUCUUGACUUGACUUGGCGUAAGCCUCCCCGGCAACGACGCCAGAAAUCCUUCUUGCUACCUCUUGAGCAUGCGUUGGUUUUCCCUUGAAGAGGAAAGGGUGAUCCAGCAAAGUAGCAUAAGUAUUUCCCUUAGUUUUUGAGAACCAAGGUAUCAAUCCAGUAGGAGGUUACAUGCAAGUCGCCUUGUACCUGCACAAACAAAUAAGAACCUUGCAACCAAUGCGAUAAAGGGGUUGUCAAUCCCUUCACGGCCACUUGCAAAAGUGAGAUCUGGUAGAGAUAAUAAAGAUAAAUAUUUUUGGUAUUUUUGUUGUAUAGAUUGAAAAGUAAAGAUUGCAAAAUAGUAAACGACAUGCAAUGUAAAUAAAAGAGAUACUCCCUCUGUUCCUAGAUAUAGGGUGUAUAGUUUUUGGCACGGAUAUUAAAGAACGCACAUGGAGAGAUAAUUUCACAAGUUUUGGCCGACAUUACACCUAACUAAUUGACAUGAUAAAAUAGAGGAGCUUGCCUAAUAUAAGGAAAUGUAAUCAAACCCCUAAAAAAAUUAUCCAAACGAGUGGUGCAAUGCAAUACACCUUACAUUUCGGUUUUUUUCUCAAAAAUCUAUACACCUUAUAUCAAGGAACGGAGGGAGUAUAAUACAAUGGAAAAGAGACCCGGGGGCCAUAGGUUUCACUAAUGGCUUCUCUCAAGAUAGCAUAUCUUACGGUGGGUGAACAAAUUACUGUUGAGCAAUUGAUAGAAAAGUGCAUAGUUAUGAGAAUAUCUAGGCAUGAUCAUGUAUAUAGGCAUCACGUCCGUGACAAGUAGAUCGAAAUGAUUCUGCAUCUACUACUAUUACUCCACACAUCGACCGCUAUCCAACAUGCAUCUAGAGUAUUAAGUUCAUAAGAACAGAGAAACGCAUUAAGAAAGAUGACAUGAUGUAGAGGGAUAAACUCAAGCAAUAUGAUAUAAACCCCAUCUUUUUAUCCUCGAUGGCAACAAUACAAUACGUGCCUUGCUGUCCCUGCUAUCACUAGGAAAGGACACCGCAAGAUUGAACCCAAAGCUAAGCACUUCUCCCAUUGCAAGAAAGAUCAAUCUAGUAGGCUAAACCAAACUGAUAAUUUGAAGAGACUUGCAAAGAUAUCAAAUCAUACAUAUAAGAAUUCAGAGAAGAAUCAAAUAUUGUUCAUAGAUAAGCUUGAUCAUAAAACCACAAUUCAUCGGAUCUCGACAAACACACCGCAAAAAGUAUUACAUCGAACAGAUCUCUAAGAAGAUCGAGGAGAACUUUGUAUUGAGAAUCAAAGAGAGAGAAGAAGCCAUCUAGCUAAUAACUAUGGACCCGAAGGUCUGUGGUAAACUACUCACACAUCAUCGGAGAGGCUAUGGUGUUGAUGUAGAAGCCCUCCGUGAUCGAUUCCCCUCCGGCGGAGCGCCGGAAAAGGCCCCAAGAUGGGAUCUCACAGGUACAGAAGGUUGCGGCGGUGUAAAUAGGGUUUUGUGGUGCUCCUGGAUGUUUUCAGGGUAUAUGAGUAUAUAUAGGCGAAAGAAGUAGGUCGGUGGAGCCACGAGGGGCCCAUGAGGUUGGGGGCGCGCCUACCCCCCUGGGCGUGCCCUCCUACCUCAUGGCCGCCUUGUGCUUCCUUGAUGUCCACUCCAAGUCUCCUGGAUUGCGUUUGUUCCAAAAACGAUUCUCCCGAAGGUUUCAUUCCGUUUAGACUCCGUUUGAUAUUCCUUUUCUGCAAACACUGAAAUAGGCAAAAAAACAGCAAUUUGCACUGGGCCUCCAGUUAAUAGGUUAGUCCUAAAAAUAAUAUAAAAGUGCAUAGUAAAUCCCAUUAAACAUUCAAAACAGAUAAUAUAAUAGCAUGGAACAAUCAAAAAUUAUAGAUAUGUUGGAGAUGUAUCAAUGGCUUCACCAAGAGCUUCAAGUUUGAUUCCAGGCCUCCACCAAAUGCAAGCUGGCACCAAACUCCCUCACUUGAAGAUUCUGAGUAUUCAUCUUCAGCUGCAAUUGUUGUUGCGAAUGUCGUCGACGAAGAAGAUGAUACCACUUUGUCGACCAUGGCUACACUGCAUCUCGACUCUACACCAGGCCCCUCUGCACCACCAAACUACAACACCGACCCUGGUCCUUCUGGAAACGAGUAGACGCUCUAUGUCUUCAAACCUUUUUGGUCAUUACUGACAAAAGGGGGAGAAUCAUAUGAGUUAAUAGUCUUCAAGCGGGUCCUUAUGGGUGGUUGCAUUAUUUUGCCAAGUUUUACAACUCUCGUCUUUUGAUACAUUUGGUUCUUUGAGUUGUAACACUUAAACUUGAUGGUCGUCUGCUACUUUUUCUGCUAUUCUGUGUUGCGAUGAUAAAUUCCGCAUGAAGUCAUUCUGCAGACGUCCAUUUGUCAUUAUGCAUAUCAUUAUCUUUCUAUAUGCAUAAUGUAUUGUCUUCACACUUUGAAGUUGGCCUCCACAAAGCAAAACCUGCCAUGUGCAUUUGCAUUCAAAAGAAAAUCGUUUAUAUGCACAUCUUCGGGGGGAGCCUCGUCAUAUGUAUGUAGACAAUACUCACAACACUAAACUUUCACAUACUUUUAUCCCCGUUGAAAACUUCAACUAGUUUGUCAUCAAUCACCAAAAAGGGGGAGAUUGUAAGUGCAUCUAGUGCCACCCCUAGUUGGUUUUGGAGUAUUGACGACAAACUUAGUUGAGGGACUAAUGUGUUUGUGAGAAUUGCAGGAUAACACAGGUAGUAGUCCCAUAUUGAUUCGGUUUACCUAUCAGAGAUGACCCCUAAAAAUGUGUGAAGACAUUGAAGACAAUGGUGGUCUGCGAAGAUAUUCACAUUGAAGACUAUGACAAGAGAAGACAUCGCAUGAAGACUAUGCAGUGUGAAGACAUAGUUGUUUCGUAGUUUCUUUUUCUUCUUUGUUGAGUCAUAGGAACCACCAUACUGUUAAGUGGGGUCCAUGUGAACAAAGUUAGAGUGACUGAAGUGAUGCUCAACCAAAUCCUAUGUCUUCGAGCAAAGACAAUGAGUGCAAAUCUUAUCUAGAGCUGGAUGAGUUAGUUUGCUUGUAGCCCAAGCUAUGUUGCCGCGUGUGUUUGAAAUCUGACCGUUGGACACAUGUCAGUUCCUUAGUGACCCAGGGUCAUUUUGGACAAAUCGGGUCGGGUUGCCUCCUGGCUAUAAAUAGCCCACCCCCUACACCAUAAGUUGGUGGUUGCUCAGAUUUAGUGCACGACUUUUUUUGUUUGAGAGCAACCCACCUCCGAAGCAUUUAAGAGAGUAAUCCUUGCGAGGACAAAGCCCAAAACACGCAGAGCCAAAGAGUGUUAGGCAUCACUGAAGUCUUUUCUGUCCGCGUGAUCUAAAGACUUAUUACACUUGAGGACUGUGAAUCCUCCAGCCGGUUAUGCGUCGCGUUCUGAGCAUCCGAGAGUCAUUGUGGAUUGCCAGUGAAUGAAGUCUGUGAAGGUUUGGAAGUCUCCCUUGAAGACUUACCAGAGUGAUUGGGCGAGGAUUAAGUGUUCUUAGAUCAAGGGAAAUAAGGUGAAGACGCGGUCUUCAGAGUUGAAUCUCAGCCUCCCUAACCAGACGUACAGUUGUCACAACAACUGGAACUGGUCCAACAAAUCUUUUGUCCUCUCCGAGCAACUGGUUCUAUCAUUCCUCUCUCUUUACUUACAGUUUGUCUUCGUGAAGUCUUUGCCCUCUUGUCUGAUCUGAUUGACUUCACAGUGUGAAGACUGUGUACUGUUUGGCUUCAUACUAUCUUCCAUCCUGAUCCAUACUACCUAGUUGCUGAUAGUCUUCGUGCUUUCACUACAUUGCUUACUUGACUAUAGCAUGUCUAGUGUAGUCUACCUUCUGCUGCAUAUCAACAGGUUCAUUUCUAUUGUUUGUCUUCAAAGCACUCAUGCUUUGAAGACUUUCAUAAAAAUCACCUAUUCACCCCCCUCUAGUCGAAUACUAGCACUUUCAGUAAGUAUUUGUACAGAACAGAGAUAGAACUAGAUAUACAACAAUUUACACCAUAUGUAACUAAGAAGAUCAACAAUCUCAACAAUUUUAGUGAACAGAACAAAACUAGAGCAUAUGCAACCAUAGAUCCAGUCUAAUGACAAUAUAUUGUAGAGAUUCACACAGACCAGAGAGGCAAACAAUUAAAUAGCGCCUGUGUCGCGGCGAAGAUGACACCACCCUCAUGAUUCCACAAGAUCAUCCCAGCCCAAGCCAUACCAUUUUCCUUCACAAAGCACCAUCGACAUUCAGUUUAGCAUGAUUUAUAAGUUAUAACAAUAUUAAUUAUCAAGAACUUUGUGGAAGUAUCUUCAUAAAAGUUUUAUUGAAAACGUUUGCAAUUCAUACAAGUAGAUAAUAAUAAAUUGUGAAUUGCACAUGCCCCCGCUCAUCUGUUCAUUGUGCUAUGUCAAGACAUUUCUUUUUUGUUGUAUUUGGGCAAAAACAGUUUCUCAAGAAUGAGUGCGCUCAAGUGUUCGAACUUUUACCUGACCUAAUGGCUUUUGUCUCAGGCCUGCUGCUACUACUACUACUUGAGAUGUGGUAAUGAGCUAAUUACAUGUUGAGUCUGUUGCGGGUACAGUUUCAUGCACAAACUUGCAGAAUGACUCAAACAGACCACUGAACUGGCUGUGCAUUGUUGGUUGCCGGGGGAUCUCUGUCGUGUUGCCGCCCUUGAUGCAUUGAUUUGGUCACUGUCUCCCCUGUCUCCGCCUAGGGUUUUGAUCCUUGUGAAAGUGAGAUUAAAUGUCUGGCUUUUGGGGGCGUGCGUAUGGUUCACAAUCUGUUAUGAUCUUUGUGCUAUAUUCAUAUGUACAGCUCUAGUUUGUUUUGAUUUGCCUGUCUGCCCAUGAUGCGAAUUAAAUUCAAAAAAAAAUGUUUUUGUUUUGGUGCAGAUUGAAUGCUCCCUCUUGAUUCUAGUUGAAGAUCCGCAUCACUAGUAAUGAGUGCGAGAAACACAGAACAUCUGUUGGCUGUUAUAAAGGUUCAGAAAAUAACAAAUUCAGACUUGUUUCAGGGUUUGAGAUUUGGAACAGAGUUUCAGAGUUUGUUGUAUGGUUAGUCAGCUGGUACAUGCAUGCAUGCUAUAAAGAUUAAUGAAAGAAAUAUAGUGUUUGUUCAGCUUGUACAAAGUUUCAGAGUUUGCUGCUAUGCUAUAAAGAAAGAUAUGUAGUGUUUGUUCAGCUUGUACAAAUUUCAUGCUGAUGUGUUCAUGGUACAGAUUACAUUUUGUUUAAUAGAGUAAUAUGGUAUUGGUACAAAUUUGUUGUCCUUUAUAAGUUUAUUAUGCACAAAGUGUUUGUAACAAUAUUGUGUUAGAGACAGGAGGUAGUACAUAUGGUUUGUUUAUUUCAAAUUAUAUAUUUUUGUUACCAUGCAUGCAUCAAUUCAAAUGUCAGUCACACAAGCUGGCUCUGGCUGCCAGAAAUGUCACCCAGGAUUUGUUACUAGUUGAUGCAAGGGAGGGACUCCAUUCCAGUCCGAGAGACAAGAUCAACUACUAGUGCUACAUCUAUCCAUGGCCUUAAUUUUGAAGCAAUCCCUGAUCUCAAUGCCCACUACUGCACAUUGUAAAUAUCAAAUGUACUAUUAUAAUUAUAAUUUGAAAAAAAAUGCAUUCAGUGUUUGCUUAUAAAAAGUAUGCUAAAUCUAUUAUAUAUAACUUGUUUGCAUUUUUCUGUGGAGCAAAGCUGCAAAAAAAGAUGACCUCAACAGGAAACAAGAGCAAUCAAGUUCAAACACACCAAGAAACAAGCCAAAAAUAAAGCAUUUGCAUCCCAAACCACAGAGGAAUCAUUCGUUCAAAACGAGCAACCAUAGCAUUCCACCAACCAAUUCCAAUUCCGAAUCACGGCAACAACUCAUCAUCACUAACAGCUCAACGGUUUCUCCCUUAACUUGCCUUGCCUUGCCUUCCCUUCCCUUCCAAAAGGAUAAGGAUGAGGCUAGGUAAGGAAAGGUAGGGUAGGGAACACGCACGACAACAUAAGGAUAUAGUAGAUAGCCUAACACAGGACAGGAGCAUAACGAUAAUCUCAUAGGAGGCAGCCAGCCAGCAUCCUCCUCUUUUAAUCUACUUGGCCUCAUGCUUGGCCUUGGAGUGCGAAGCUAGAGCGCCCUCACUGUU
rnacentral:lncRNA from 1 species